UGCAUUUCUUGCAGUCCUUAUGCAUGGAGAAAUGCUCAACAUCACAAGCCUCUGUUAAUGUGUACCUAGUUUAUACUAAGUGACCCAUAGGUUGAGGAGGCGGUGACCGUGGCAGUGGAGGAGAAGGAUGAGGUAGCCAACACUGGUUUUUAUAUAUCUAUAUUUUUUUAUUAGGGUAGUCCCCAAAAUAUUGGGACAUAUAAAAAUAGACAACCCUGUUCCACAGAGUAGCUAUUGACAUUAUAGUUGCGCAGGCACUUUGUUUACUCUAGAGAACCUCGGGCCAAUCGCACAUCCCCAUGGCGGCGACUUUGCAUGCAGAUGUCAUCCAUAUCAACCUUCGAUGCCAGUUUCUGCACCUACCAUGGUGACAACGGGUAAUGGGGAAUCAGGGUUCCAUUUCAUACAGGGACCCUGAGAAACGGCUACCACAUGCAAGAAAGGCAGCA